GAUGAACGCUGGCGGCGUGCCUAAUACAUGCAAGUCGAGCGAACGGACGAGAAGCUUGCUUCUCUGAUGUUAGCGGCGGACGGGUGAGUAACACGUGGAUAACCUACCUAUAAGACUGGGAUAACUUCGGGAAACCGGAGCUAAUACCGGAUAAUAUUUUGAACCGCUUGGUUCAAAAGUGAAAGACGGUCUUGCUGUCACUUAUAGAUGGAUCCGCGCUGCAUUAGCUAGUUGGUAAGGUAACGGCUUACCAAGGCAACGAUGCAUAGCCGACCUGAGAGGGUGAUCGGCCACACUGGAACUGAGACACGGUCCAGACUCCUACGGGAGGCAGCAGUAGGGAAUCUUCCGCAAUGGGCGAAAGCCUGACGGAGCAACGCCGCGUGAGUGAUGAAGGUCUUCGGAUCGUAAAACUCUGUUAUUAGGGAAGAACAUAUGUGUAAGUAACUGUGCACAUCUUGACGGUACCUAAUCAGAAAGCCACGGCUAACUACGUG
rnacentral:rRNA from 1 species